AGCCCCGCCCCGCGCCCUACGUCGGGUUAAGUGGGGUCCCUCACCAGCCCCGCGCUGAUCAUACGCCAUGUGGCACUGUGGCCCGCGGCGGGGCUGUGUGCGCUGAGGCUGCUGAGUGGCGGGCUGAAUCAGGAUGUUGACCGUGGCCACAUCCACGUCCCAGAGCUUCUUCACAUUCUGUUUGAUCUGGUGCUUGUUGGCUUUAACAUCAACAGUGAACACAAGCGUGCUGUUGUCUUCUAUCUUCUUCACGGCUGACUCAGUGGUCAGUGGAAACUUGAUGAUAGCGUGGUGGUCAAGCUUGUUUCUCCGGGGGGUGCUCGUCCCAGGAUAUCUGGGCUGCAGUCGCAGUGUCUUGGGACGCUGGAAGAUAUUAUUUCCCACUGAUGCUUUCCUGAAAGCUCCUGCAAUCGCCUACAGGUCAGAAUGCUUGUCUCCAACACAGGACUCCCUCUGAGAGUCACCCGUCUGGUCACCAAGAGAAAUGCAUAUCUGAGUGCCUCAUUGGGAGAGGGUAACCGGCAACUCAAAAGAAUGAAACCAUUUGUCUCUUACCUACCUAUGACCUGGAAGCUCCCUAUCUGGCCUUCUCUUCAAGUUGUCUCAUCUUUCUGGACUGAACCAAGGUACAUCUUUCACAUAUUGAUUGAUGUCUCCUGUCUCCCUAAAGUGUGUAAAACCAAGCUGGGCCCCGACCACCUUGGGCCCGUGUUGUUAGGACCUCCUGCAGAGGCAUCAUGGGUGCAUCCUCAAACUUGGCAAAAUAAACUUUCUAAAAAAUCUGAGACCUGUCUCAGAUUUUCAGGGUUCACACAUGUAAUGUAGGAUGUCAAUGUUUAUAAAACAGACAUCAUUCUAUCUACUAUUAAAAAUAUGCUGCCAAUUAACCUUAGACUUUCUCAACAAAAUAAAAAAUGUUGAUGAGGCACAAAUAAUAUAUUUAAACUUAGAUAAUGUUGCAAGUUUUAAUGUGCCUACUUCUCAAUUUUUCAAUACUAUUUUUACUAAUUUAACACUGUAAGAAAAAUGAGUAAUGAAAACAUGAAUAAAAGUGUUUACAGGGAGUGCACGUUUCCUCCAGCCUCUGCCCAUCUCCAGCUUUCAUCCCAACUGUCCUGACAGUGGCUCUAAGCAUUUCUCCUUUCUCUGUACCAAGAUGUCCCUGCUGAAGCGAACUCAAAUCUUACCAUGUGUUAUGACACACUGUGAUGAUGAGCAACCAAAGCCUCGAGGAAGAGAUGCUUUUAUAAAACAAGACUUGCAGAAUAUAAUGUGUGAAGUAAAGCCCAUGGCAGAGCUCCCUUUAGCACCCGGGGAGCACACAGGAAGCUUUUGCCUCACCUUCCUCACUGGCCCGCAGCCACGUCUCCCCAGGUCAGUCUUGAGGACAACAAAACUCUGGUCUUCACUGUGGACACACUACCAGGUGCUUCAAAGCCAUGGCCUCUUCUCAGGUGGGUCCUGAGGAGAACAGAGCUCUAGUUCUAAUCCUAACCCCAAUCCUGUCUCUAGACUUUGACCCUGACCCUAAACCCUGAUGCCUACCGUGGUCCCUAAUUCUGACCCUGACUUUGACCCUGACUUUGAUCUUGACCCUGACCAUGAACCCAUCUCUAACCAUAAUCCAGCCGUAACUCUGACCCAGACUCUAAUCCUAACCCUAACCCUACUAUUAUCUUUACAAUCUAUCUCUAAUCUUACCCCCUACUGCUAAAUAGCUGUACCCAAAAGCACUUUUUAAAUUAUUUAACUUCUUUUCUUUGAAUUCUCUAAGGACAUCCUAAAGGAGAUGUCAUUAUUUAUUUUGCAGUCACUCUGAGUGGUAUGGCUUCAGAGAGGAAGUUCUAAUACUUUACAAGACAUAAAAAGUUUGGAGAGUAACAGCACGGGGUUGUUAGGGAUGCAUGUUGACAUUCACGAUAGUCAUUGGUGCUGUUCUCCAAAUAUUUUCAGUUCAGCUUUUAUGAAUGCAUUCUGAUUAUUCCAACCUACCUACUUAAAUGUUUGCAUGACCACAUAGCUUUUUUUUUUUUUUUUUGGCCAAUGGAGGUGAGAAGAAAUAACAUGUGACUUUUUCAGGAGAAAUCUCUAAGAACAGAGUUCUAUUCAGCAUGCUUUUUUCUCUUUUCUAUAGCAAUAAUUUUAGCAAUAUUAAUAGCUUCAAAAACUAACUUAGCUAUUAGGUUUUUUAAAAGGUCUUUUGUCUUCCAGUUUGUAAGCCACACUGAUCAGGACUACAGAGUUGAAUUAUUAGAAGUGAUAAAGGAAAGAUAAUGCUUAUCUUUUAAAAACAUGAAUUACCUGUUUAAUGGGCACAAGCAGGUUUUGUUCUAUUCAUCAGGUAAUAAAUAAAACUUUACACAAAAAGUGAGGGUCAGGGGAUGCAGAGAACACACAACUGACUUCAUGGCAGGAAGAUUCUUAGUGCUAAUUCAAUAUUACUACUUAUUAGCUGCAAAAUAUAAUUGUAUUUGAAAUUUUUAUCAUGGACACUAACCAUCAUUAUGGACACAGGAUGGCCAUUGACCAAUGAGAAAAGAUGGUGGUCGUAACAACCAGCAGUGCCCAUGGCAUAUCCGCCAGUGUGCAGUGACUAUCAGCUCCGACUGAUCUGGAUGUCUUAACAGCUUCAUCUGUGAGUGACAGGAUUGCCUUGUGUCAAUGGCUCUCAAACUUGGGUGCUUGCUUGAAUCUCUUAAAGAAUUUUCAAAAAUAUGUUCAUCGCUAAUUCACAAUUAUACUGUUUAGGAAUUAUGAAUCUGGGCGCUCCUGUAUUGGGUGCAUAUAUAUUUAGGAUAGUUAGCUCUUCUUAUUGAAUUGAUCCUUUUACCAUUAUGUAAUGGCCUUGUCUCUUUUGAUCUUUGUUGGUGUAAAGUUUGUUUUAUCAGA